GGGCUUUUGCGACGUCCAGGUGGGAAGAAGAUACAGAUAACUCCUCUGUAUUUCUCUGAAUAAAACGCAGGGCCUUUCUUUUGUUGCUUGGGCAAAGAGCUGCCUUGUGCCAUCUGAGGAGUUUACAAUCGUAAAUGGCAAGGCUGUGCGCGGUAUGGGUAUUUGCGUGUGUGGUGUGUGGGCAGAGUGUGUGAAACAGGCUGCGCAGUCUCCCGCGACCUCACAGCCUCCCUCCUACAGCCCCGCACUCAGCCACACCUGCCCCCUCGAUGCCCUGUCUGCUAAAUCAUCAAGCCUCCAGAACGGCUGGGCCCUCACUCUGUCAGCGUCUAACGCAACACUUGAGGCCAGCCGACGAAGCCUUUCCUCCCACGCCCUUUGGAACCGUCUAGUGUGUUAGCCUCUUCGAUAACACUCUUGGUUCUCCUGGAGGAUGCCCUUCCCUGGCAUUCCGGGGCGGGGGGACGCUGCUCAUCCUUGUGCGCGUGCACACACACACCCAUCUCAAGGUACCGACGUUGGGAUACAGCCUUCCACUGAUAAGCAUCAUCUCCUCCGCCACACCACCAGCUGUAGGGCAGGGUAACCGCACCCGCUGCUCCAGAGGGUGGACCCUGAUUAGUCUAAGCCAAUCAUCGGUCUCUUGCCAGUGAUUGGUGCAGGAGUCAGCAUGUGACCCAAUUCUGGCCAACGAGAUGUGAGGAGAGGUCUGCUCAGGGACUUCUGGGAAAGGAUUCCUCGCUUCUAGGAAGGAGACUACGGAAAGAGUGCCUGUUUUCUGCCGUUGAGCACUGAUGGGCCUGAGUGUAAUUCCUGGAACUGCUCCGACCAUCUUGCAAUCGUGAGGGUCAACAGUGUUUCGAUGAAGUUGAGGCAGUGCAAUGGAAGGAACCUCGAUGAUGUUACUGUAUUAUUGAGCCCUAUUACACUGAAAAAUCUCCUUCCUCUGGACUUCCUAUCAAGUGAAAUAAUAGAGGCGUUAUUAUUUGUCAUCUAUAAUCAAGAUAUCCUAGCUGAGGCAGCCCUGCGCUUCUCCCACCCCCUGGGGACUCCUCCCCUAUGUAAGGCUCCUGUGUGGCUCCAGACGGUGGGAGGCCACCAGGGUGUCCUACUGCCAGGACCUGCCUGCCAGAUUGAAUACCCUGGUACCACCACAAAACAUAUGUGACCUUGACCCUGAUGUCACCCUACAGCCAGAACUGAUGAUGGCCACCAGUGCCUGUCGUCCAGAACCCUUUGCAUGGUAUUAUCCAGUAUUUCUGUCCAGCCUCACAUCCAGACCUGCUUCACUGGGCUUCCUCUGCUUCAGGAGACUGAGAAGGUGGUUGGAAGCAACAGUAGUUUUCUUAUCUCCUUGGAGAAAGAUCAAAGCUGUUACUGAGAUUUUAUAGAUGAGAUCUCCACUGUUCUCCAUGAACUCAUGUGUCUGAGCCUCUGUCUCCCUGGUUAUGCAUUACUGGCUGGCUAACAUUAUUCCGGGCAUUUCUUCAAGUGUCACUGGUAACUUAGAACUCACCAGUGACAAGCUGGCAGAUUCACUUACAGAAUGCAGCUCCUGAAAACUACUAAUAAUGCUGUGAAGAAACAGGAGACAGAAACCAGCAGUAUUUGGUCUUCAGUUUAAGGCAUAAAUAUCUGAAAAGGAGAAAUUCCUUGGAGCCAGCCUUCCAGACAGAACCUUUAGUGCUUGGUUACAUAAAGAGCGACAGAAGCCAAGAGGUCAGGACAGAGCUGCAGCAUGCUGUGCCUAGGCCCCAGCAGGAGUGUGCAUGGGGUGUGGGGACAUCGAGAGUAGUGCUGACUUCCCUCCUUCCACUCCCAAUUCACUACACUGAGCCCAGAGCACAGUGCCGGGCGCUGCAGGGAGGGAUUGCACUGCGGCAGCGUUUCCCAGUGACGACAUUGGUUGUGCUUUAUGAUACUACAGACUCAUCCAAAGGAGAAAGUUGCAGAAAACGAAAUAAGAGGAAUCUCUCCUUUCUCCCCUCAAGACAGUCACAGGGGCUCUGCAUUCUGAGGUCUGACCCAGGGGAACAAUGAGAGGCUUUGAUUUCAUGAAGUCCAGGCUCCAGGCACAAAGAGCUGGCUUGUCCUGCAUGGGCAGGGGCUCUGGGAUGGGCAGGAAGAAGCUCAACCCACCGAGAGACCCAGGUUUCCCAGAGACAGAGAGCAAAGAUGUGAUGGGAGAUGUAGUGUGUGCUACUCAAAGCUAAUAACCUGCCUUCAGGGCAGUGGAGAUGGGUCCUGAUCUGUAGUGUUUACCAAUUUCUGUAGUGUAAAUAUUUCUACCAUGGCCAAUUUCAGGCUACCAGCUUGAUGUCACUGAAGAGGAAGUCAGGGAAAGCGGUGCAAAGAGCCGGUUCUCACAAGACAGUACAAGCCAGCUGCAGCGGACCAGUGACGCGGAAACAUGCACCCGCCUCCAGACAGCGCCUCAGGAGCGGGCAGGACCUUUUACGGGGUGAUUCCUGGGUGCCUGGGACUGAAACCCUAGUUUAAGACCUUGUGAGCUGCUGCAAAAGAUCUCGGAGCCUGGCUUGGCACGGAGGAAGUGGAGCCACCCUUCCUCAGAAUAAACUAUUUGAGCUUGAGGAAGAGGUUCCCGCAGCGGCCACGUGGGGCUGAAGAACAGGACCUUUGCUCAAGCUUCAGGACAUUGCAAACCACCCUGGCUCACCCUAAGGACGGCAUGCUCCAGACAAUGACUCCACCGUGGUGACUGGGAGCUCAGAGCCACAUUUAUGAAAAUAAAAUACUGUGAUAGUUCUUGCAUAUGAUCGUUGGGAUGCAAAUUCAUGCCUGCUACAAAGAGAUGACAGCCUUCUUCCGAGUUAUGAGGGCUUAUGCCUUCAGGUUUCUCAGUCUAGGAGGGAAAAUGAAACUAGUAUUCAAAUAUGCCCCCAAAAAUGUGCUAUGCACCACAAUAAGGAACAUCAGUAUAGUAAGAAGACUAUCACACAGUUACAUAUUAUCACAUGUGUAAAGAACUUUCACAUGUAAGAUCUCCUUUUAUCCUCCUCACGACCUUGCCAAGCUGACUAUAGUUCCAUUUCCCAGAUUUGGACGUUGACAGUCAGAGAGGCCCAAGACCAUACCGUCCAUCCGUGCAGAACCAGCACUCUCCUUACUAUCUUCUAUAUGCCAUGCUCAGUGUUCCUCCCCCUACAGAAUGACAGACUCAUCUGGGUGUGCCCAGAACCUUCCCACUUUUAGCACUGACAGUCUUGCACCUUGGGAAACACAUCAGUCCUCCCUUGCAUUAUGGCCAAUAGGAUAUAAGCGGAGGUUCCUUAGCUGUAUUUCCAGGAUCAGGUUCCUUAAAAGGAUGAGCCAGUCAGGCAAUGCCCCUUUGCUUCUUCCUGUUUUUCUUCUUGCUUGGAACUUGCAUGUGAUGACUAGAGUGCCAGCAGCCAUCCUGUGACCCUGAAGAUGAAAGCAAUAUGCUAAUGAAGUUGGAGCAGAAAGAUAGAAAGAGGCUGGGUCCCUUGUGACUAUGAGCUGCCAUAACCACCCUGGACCACCUACUUGCAGACUUCCUUUAUAUGAGAAAAUAAACCCUUAUGUAUUUAGACCACUGGAGUGAAUUCUCCAUUGCUGGCAGCCAGUCAGAGAAUAGCUCAAGCAAAGGCAUGAAGGCGAGAAUGCACACAGCUUUUGAAAUUGUGUGGUUAUUCCCCCAGGGUUUAGCUAGUUUUUUAAGAUUUUAAUCUCUUUAAGAUUUCUUCCCCUGCUCUCACUCAUGAGCCUCUCCCUGCAAUUCACGAUGGUGCAUAAUGGAGUCCUGAGACCCAGGAUCUCAUGUUUCUUUUUUCCCUUGGUACUUCUGUUGAUCUCCUAGCCUUUCAUGCAUUUAAUCAAUGGCGUUAACGACCCCUGGGAAUGAGUGUGCAGAAAAAAGCAGAAAACAAAAGUGUCAAUUCUUGGCUUUUGAGUUACAAAACAGUCUUUUGGAACUCACAGCAAAGACAUUAGUUGGAGAAAGGCUUUUUGAAUUUCAAAAGCCUGGAUACUAUACAUUAUUGUGGAAUUUCAGAGUACUGAGGACAAAAGAAGACUACAAGCUUUCCAAGAGCAAAGAACAGCUGACAAACAAAAGAAGAAGAACCAGAAUAGCUCCAGAGCUCUCAGCAGCAAAUUGCUAGAAAACAGGGGAGCAAUGCCUUCAAAAUUUGGGGAGGAAAUUUUCAACCUAAAAGUCUAUUCCCAGCCAGAUUAUCAAUCGAAGGAUAGCAGAUUAAAGAUACUUUCAGAUAUCCAAAUCCUCGAAUAUUAUAUCUCCUACAGACCCUUUCUUUAGGUAGCAAAUGUAAAACAAGAAAGAGAAAGAUACUGGAUCCAGAAAGCAGGGGAUCCAACCCAGGAGAGCAAUAAAGGGAAGCCCCAGGAAAAUGUGUUCAGUUGGCCUAACGAGCAACCAGGAGAUGGAGCUUGUGGGAAAACCUGUAGCCACAGGUAGGGAGAAAAACAGACAAAUGAAAAACGGGGCAAUUCUUAACUCCAGGACAAACAAAGAGUUAAAUACGAUAAAGGCAUGGUGAUAUUGGACUCUUUGUUCAGCUGGGAACAAUAUUUGCAUAUUUGUUAUGGUAUAUACACCAUCUAAUAAAUUGACCACAAUUGUGA
ensembl:lncRNA